rnacentral:rRNA from 1 species
UACGUAGGGGGCAAGCGUUGUCCGGAUUUAUUGGGUGUAAAGGGUGCUCAGGCGGAUUCGUAAGUCAGUGGUGAAAUCUCCCGGCUCAACCGGGAAACUGCCUUUGAUACUGCGAGCCUUGAGUUUGGAAGAGGAUGAUGGAAUAUCUGGUGUAGCAGUGAAAUGCGUAGAUAUCAGAUAGAACACCAAUGGCGAAGGCAGUCAUCUGGUCCAUAACUGACGCUAAAGCACGAAAGCGUGGGUAGCAAACAGGAUUAGAUACCCUGGUAGUCCACGCCCUAAACGAUGAAUACUAGACGUUGGGUCCGCAAGGAUUCAGUGUCUGAGCUAACGCAUUAAGUAUUCCACCUGGGAAGUACGAUCGCAAGGUUGAA